rnacentral:rRNA from 1 species
UACGUAGGGGGCAAGCGUUGUCCGGAAUCAUUGGGCGUAAAGCGCGUGUAGGCGGCCCGAUAAGUCCGCUGUGAAAGUCCAGGGCUCAACCCUGGAAUGCCGGUGGAUACUGUCGGGCUCGAGUCCGGAAGAGGCGAGUGGAAUUCCUGGUGUAGCGGUGAAAUGCGCAGAUAUCAGGAGGAACACCCGUGGCGAAGGCGGCUCUCUGGGACGGUACUGACGCUGAGACGCGAAAGCGUGGGGAGCGAACAGG